rnacentral:rRNA from 1 species
AUGGACAAGGUCUGGGACCUCAAGGUGCACGUCGAUGGCCGUCACACGCUUCUUCUCCACCAGAGCGUCAUGUGCGCCUUCUCGGGGAGGCUGAGGGCAAUGGCGACGCGGGAGACGAAGGCCAAGAGCGGAGGAGGAGCAGAGGCGGCGUCAAUGUGCGUCGACCUCGCGGGCUUCCCUGGAGGCGGUGAGGGGUUCGACCUCGUGGCACAGUUCUGCUACAGCAAUGGCCGCCUCCCGCCGCUCCGCCCCUCCGACCUCCCGCUCGUGCACUGCGCCGCCGCGUUCUUGGAGAUGACCGAGGAGGUGCGCGCCGGCAACCUCCUCGCCCAGGCGGAGGCCUUCGUGGACGUCGGGCUCUGCUACUGGAGCUGGGCCGACGUGCUCGCCGCCGUCAAGAGCUGCGAGGCGUUAGGAGCGGACGUCUCCGGCCUCCGAGCGAAGCUCCUCUCAGCUCUGUUCUCGAGGAUCGCCGAAGGCGCAGAGACGUCGAACAGCUCCUCGUCAUCGUCGCCAGACACGGCCGGCGGCUCCAGCGGGCGGCCAUCAUCCGCCAAGACGCCGGAGUCGGUGAAGCGGUCAUGCUUGGGGGGCGGCGGCAGGGAGUGGUGGUUCGAUGACGUGGCGUCUCUAUCCCCGCCGACCGUCGAGCAGGCCAUGCAACUGCUGGGCUGCUACGGCGUGGACAACAAGAACCUCACACUGACGCGGUUCCUGCUGCACUACCUCCCCCGCGCCGCGGCGCUCCGCAAGGUCGACGACUCGGGAAGCCUGGUCGGACUCGCCGACACGGCCGUGCACGGGGUGGCGCACUCCGGCAGCGGGGCGGCGUUCUCCUGCAGAGGUCUCUUCUGGGUUCUGCGGAUCGUAUCAGCCGUGGGCCUGAGCAAGGAAUGCAGGCGAAAGAUGGAGGCGCUGGUGGGGCAGAUGCUGGACCAGGCCACGCUCGACGACCUCCUCGUCUCCGGCGAUGGCAGCGGCGUGUACGACGUCGGCCUGGUCACGAGGCUCGUCAGGGUUUUCGUGAGCUCCGUGGGCGAGGAGGAGGCCGGCUGCUCGUCGGAGAAGAUGAGGAAGGUGGGGAGGCUGAUGGACAAGUACCUGGCGGAGAUCUCGCCGGACCACGGGCUGAGGGUGUCCAGGUUCCUCGCCGUCGCAGAGAGCCUGCCGGACUCCGCCAGGGACUGCUACGACGGCGUGUACAGGGCAGUGGACAUCUACCUCGAGUCUCACGCCGAGCUGACUGUCGAGGAGUGCGCAACACUGUGUCGGUGCCUCAACUACAAAAAGCUGACGCUGGAGGCAUGCAAGGACCUGACCAGGAACCGACGGAUUCCAACAGGGGUCUCCGUACAGGCACUGUCCUUACAACUGCAGCCCAAUGCGCUCCGGCUCCUCUCGUCGUCGUCGAUUUCGAGAUGGGUUGUGGCAGACGGCGAGAAGAAGGAGGCGCUGAGGCUGAGCCUGCGGCGAAUGCAGGGCCGGCUGACAGAGCUGCAGAUGACAUGCAAGGGGACGAGAGGGAAGACAAGGGCGUCGUCUGGGAUGGCGGCCAAGGGCAGCAAGUCCUUGGGCGGGAGGGGCUUGCCUUGGAUGUGCUAG